rnacentral:rRNA from 1 species
GCCUUCUUAACUGCCACCUAUCUCAUCAAUUUGCCUCCUAGUAAGGUCAUCAAAGUUGAAACACCCAUCACACGACUCCUUGGUAUUACACCAAAUCAUACAUCACUUUGUAUUUUAGGUUGUGCAUGUUGGCCAAAUCUCAGACCCUACAAUACACUCAAACUUGCAUUCCGCUCAAAACGAUGUGUGUUUCUAGGAUAUAGUCCCAUGCACAAGGGAGUAAAAUGCUUAGAUGUUCCUACAGGAAGAGUCUACAUAUCCAGAGAUGUUGUAUUUGACGAGUCCACUUUUCCAUUUGAAUCCCUUCAUCCGAACGCCGGUGCUCUCCUUCGGAAGGAAAUCCUUCUUCCCCAAAAUCUUCGAAGCUUUGAUCACGGGGGAGACAAUUGUACUGACCAAUAUGAUAGUAAUACUACCAGUACCAGUUCUGCUCUUAUGCCUGUGCAGGUCAACGUGAACAGUGGUGAAGACGGCAGUCAAAAUGGUGGUCAGAAUGAUCAAAACCAUGUUAUAUUUCAUGUACCGCAAGAGGACGAACUGGGCGCAGAAUAG